AUUUUUAUGGAGAGUUUGAUCCUGGCUCAGGAUGAACGCUGGCGGCGUGCCUAAUACAUGCAAGUCGAGCGAACGGACGAGAAGCUUGCUUCUCUGAUGUUAGCGGCGGACGGGUGAGUAACACGUGGAUAACCUACCCAUAAGACUGGGAUAACUUCGGGAAACCGGAGCUAAUACCGGAUAAUAUUUUGAACCGCAUGGUUCAAAAGUGAAAGACGGUCUUGCUGUCACUUAUGGAUGGAUCCGCGCUGCAUUAGCUAGUUGGUAAGGUAACGGCUUACCAAGGCAACGAUGCAUAGCCGACCUGAGAGGGUGAUCGGCCACACUGGGAACUGAGACACGGUCCAGACUCCUACGGGAGGCAGCAGUAGGGAAUCUUCCGCAAUGGGCGAAAGCCUGACGGAGCAACGCCGCGUGAGUGAUGAAGGUCUUCGGAUCGUAAAACUCUGUUAUUAGGGAAGAACAUAUGUGUAAGUAACUGUGCACAUCUUGACGGUACCUAAUCAGAAAGCCACGGCUAACUACGUGCCAGCAGCCGCGGUAAUACGUAGGUGGCAAGCGUUAUCCGGAAUUAUUGGGCGUAAAGCGCGCGUAGGCGGUUUUUUAAGUCUGAUGUGAAAGCCCACGGCUCAACCGUGGAGGGUCAUUGGAAACUGGAAAACUUGAGUGCAGAAGAGGAAAGUGGAAUUCCAUGUGUAGCGGUGAAAUGCGCAGAGAUAUGGAGGAACACCAGUGGCGAAGGCGACUUUCUGGUCUGUAACUGACGCUGAUGUGCGAAAGCGUGGGGAUCAAACAGGAUUAGAUACCCUGGUAGUCCACGCCGUAAACGAUGAGUGCUAAGUGUUAGGGGGUUUCCGCCCCUUAGUGCUGCAGCUAACGCAUUAAGCACUCCGCCUGGGGAGUACGACCGCAAGGUUGAAACUCAAAGGAAUUGACGGGGACCCGCACAAGCGGUGGAGCAUGUGGUUUAAUUCGAAGCAACGCGAAGAACCUUACCAAAUCUUGACAUCCUUUGACAACUCUAGAGAUAGAGCCUUCCCCUUCGGGGGACAAAGUGACAGGUGGUGCAUGGUUGUCGUCAGCUCGUGUCGUGAGAUGUUGGGUUAAGUCCCGCAACGAGCGCAACCCUUAAGCUUAGUUGCCAUCAUUAAGUUGGGCACUCUAAGUUGACUGCCGGUGACAAACCGGAGGAAGGUGGGGAUGACGUCAAAUCAUCAUGCCCCUUAUGAUUUGGGCUACACACGUGCUACAAUGGACAAUACAAAGGGCAGCGAAACCGCGAGGUCAAGCAAAUCCCAUAAAGUUGUUCUCAGUUCGGAUUGUAGUCUGCAACUCGACUACAUGAAGCUGGAAUCGCUAGUAAUCGUAGAUCAGCAUGCUACGGUGAAUACGUUCCCGGGUCUUGUACACACCGCCCGUCACACCACGAGAGUUUGUAACACCCGAAGCCGGUGGAGUAACCUUUUAGGAGCUAGCCGUCGAAGGUGGGACAAAUGAUUGGGGUGAAGUCGUAACAAGGUAGCCGUAUCGGAAGGUGCGGCUGGAUCACCUCCUU
rnacentral:rRNA from 1 species